UCGAGGGGCGUUGGAGCCAGGGAAGCUUUCAAUACCGCUCUCUGACACACGCCCUCCUGC
ensembl:miRNA